GACGUAGGAGGCGAGCGUUGUCCGGAUUCAUUGGGCGUAAAGAGCACGCAGGCGGUUUGGCAAGUCGGAUGUUAAAACCCGAAGCUCAACUUCGGGCCUGCAUCCGAAACUGCCCGACUAGAGGUAGGUAGGGGAGAUCGGAAUUCCUGGUGUAGCGGUGAAAUGCGCAGAUAUCAGGAGGAACACCGGUGGCGAAGGCGGAUCUCUGGGCCUUACCUGACGCUCAGGUGCGAAAGCUAGGGGAGCAAACAGG
rnacentral:rRNA from 1 species